UACGUAGAAGGCUAGUGUUAGUUAUCAUUAUUGGGUUUAAAGGGUGUGUAGACUGUAAAUUAAACUUUAAAAGAGUACUUUUUUACUAGAGUUAUAUGUGAGAAGGAAGAAUUUCUGGAGUAGAGAUAGAAUUUUUUUGAUACCAGAAGGACUGUCAACGGCGAAGGCGUCCUCCUAUGUAAUAACUGACGUUGAGAUACGAAGGCUUGGGUAGCAAACAGGGAUUAGAUACCCGUGAGUCAGUC
rnacentral:rRNA from 1 species